CGCCCGUCACACCACGAGAGUGGGUAAUGCCAGAAGUAGGUAGCUUAACCGUAAGGAGAGCGCUUCCCAAGGUAGGACUCGCGAUUGGGGUGAAGUCGUAACAAGGUAUCCCUACGGGAACGUGGGGAUGGAUCACCUCCUUUCUAUGGAGUUAAAAUUUAUAAAAGCAGAGUGAAACUGCUUUGACUAUUCUUGUUCCAUUUAGUUUUCAGAGGUUAUUAAUUUAAUCUCUGAAAAGAUUGUUCUUUGAAAACUGAAUAUUAGAUGAAAUUAUUGAUUCAUAUUUAUAUGGAUCAAUAAAUUAACAAUUUUCUGUUAAUAAUCGUAAGAUUAUUUAACACAAAUUUGACAUCAGUUAUAAAAAACUAAAAUUUUUAUAUUACAAAUAUAUGUUAUAAAUUGCAAAUAGAUUUUUUCUAAAAAAUAGUAAGAGCAUAUGGUGAAUGCCUUGGAAAAUGGAGCCGAAGAAGGACGUGACUACCUGCGAAAAGCAUCGGGGAGCUGGAAGUGAGCUUAGAUCCGGUGAUGUCCGAAUGGGGAAACCCAGUACGAUUAAUCUCGUAUUAUCCAUAACUGAAUACGUAGGUUAUGAGAAGGGAACCUUGGGAACUGAAACAUCUUAGUACCAAGAGGAAAAUAAAAUAAAUAAUGAUUCUGUUAGUAGCGGCGAGCGAAAGCGGAACAGGCCAAACCAGUCUACGGGCUGGGGUUGUAGGACUUUAGUUAGAGUUACAAAAUUGCUGUAUAGUAGAAGCUACUGGGAAGUAGUGCCAUAGAGGGUGAUAGCCCCGUAUACGAAAUGCAGUGAUCUCGAAGAAGUAUCCUGAGUACGGCGAAACACGUGAAAUUUUGUCGGAAUCUGCCGGGACCACCCGGUAAGCCUAAAUACUCCCAUUUUACCGAUAGUGAACCA
rnacentral:sRNA from 1 species